AGCUGUAAACCUAGCCCCACCUCAACAACCACCCAGAUCCCCCAACUAAAACAUUUAAAGUCUCCAGUAUAGGCGAUAAAAAAAGAAACAGGCGCAACAGAAUCUAGUACCGCAAGGGAAAAGUGAAAUAGUUAUGAAACAGCCACCAAAGCACCACAAAGCAGAGAUGCCCCCUCGUACCUUUUGCAUCAUGGUCUAGCAAGAAAUCCUAAGCAAAAUGCAUUGAAGUUUAAACCCCCGAAACUAGACGAGCUACCCCGGAGCAGCUAUAAGAGCAAACCCAUCUCUGUGGCAAAAGAGUGGGAGGACUCCCGA
rnacentral:rRNA from 1 species